rnacentral:lncRNA from 10 species
UAAUUUUUCUGGGUUGAUGCUGUCUCAUCUAGUCCCCCUUGGACAAAUGACCACUUUGGAUGAGUUAGGGAUGUUGCUUGAGAUCGAAGAAUGCUUCUUUUUGGUGGAGAUUUUCUGUUUUGUUUUUUCUGUGUGAAGGCUAGCUAUGUCCCAGGGGAAUUAGACUCAUGACUUAAAGUCCCUUAGUCACUGCCCCCUUGUCUCUGCUCUUACUCAUUCUGUUCCGCCAUUGACGCUUGAAAGCACCACAGGUUUGUAGAGCUAUGGGAGUAGCUGCAUGGUUUUUGUUUUCUAACCAGGACUCCAAAGGGUUAUAUCUGGUAUACUGUAAUUUGGACCAGUUUCUUCAUCUGGUUUCCCAAAGCAUAAACAAGAAGAAGCUGCAAAUGAAGAAGGAUAAAGAUAAAGAAAUGCUGGAAGUAAACUUGGAUCUUAGUCUAGACUUAGACAAUGGGAAAGAAAGAAACUCUCUUAAAAGAGUGAACCUUAAGAACCUAGUAACCUGGGAAAUCUUGAAGAGCCCCUGAAGUUGCUGUGUUGUACAAAAGAAGAUGUUCUGAAUGCUAUUUCUGAAACUUCAAAUAAAGUGUAAACUCUGCUCAGUAUAAAGUGUAAACUCUGCUCAGUAUAGUUAGAUUAAGAAAGCAAUGUAACAUGCAUUUAGAACACUUUAAAAAGUGAUCAGUAUUGGGAGGCCGAGGCAGGUGGAUCACAAGGUCAAGAAAUUGAGACCACCCUGGCCAAUAUGGUGAAACCCCGUCUCUACUAAA